rnacentral:rRNA from 1 species
UACGUAGGGUGCAAGCGUUAAUCGGAAUUACUGGGCGUAAAGCGUGCGCAGGCGGUUAUGCAAGACAGAUGUGAAAUCCCCGGGCUUAACCUGGGAACCGCAUUUGGGACUGCAUGGCUAGAGUACGGUAGAGGGGGAUGGAAUUCCGCGUGUAGCAGGUGAAAUGCGUAGAUAUGCGGAGGAACACCGAUGGCGAAGGCAAUCCCCUGGACCUGUACUGACGCUCAUGCACGAAAGCGUGGGGAGCAAACAGG